rnacentral:lncRNA from 1 species
UUUUCUUUUUCAAAAGCACUUUAGAUAUUCACAUUUCAGUUUUUCCCAUUCAAGUUGUCUGGAUUGCAACUUUCCAGUUGAUUGUCUCCCAUCCUAGGGUUUUAUUUGGGUGUCAAUGCUUAUAGAAGAGUGUUGUUCUUAUUGUUGUCAAGUAACUGAUUUCAUGUCUAUUCUAGUUAUAGUAUAAAGAGAUUUCAUUCAGUGAACUCUAGACUAACAUCAGCAUUUACAUUUCAUGUCUGUUUUCUAUACCAGCAUGGGUAAAACAAUUCAACAGAAUCCAAUGGGUCAUUGGACCAUGUCUUAUACUGUCUCAGUUUUGGCACGAUUUCUGUGACUGGAUGACCUUCCUAUUACCAACCACUCAAAAAACAAAAGAGCUCCCUCAACUGAGAAAGAGAAUAGUAGAAAAGGUGUUUGGUUGAAGUAAGUUUGUUUCUAUAGAGGAGAUACAUGCCCAUCUCAAAUUAUAUGAGGAUUGGUGGGUGUAAAUGGAGUGGAGCAGAGUAGCCUUGUAUCUCUGUGCCUGUCCUAUCAUACUUUAGUUGUUCAGCAUCUGACGUAAUGCCACCUUCAUCUCUUCUACAACCCCUUGCUGUUGAGGGGGCUUUUUUUUUUGUCUUGCCAGUUACUCAAUGACCUCACUAUUGUCAAUUCCUUGAAAAUAAAAUCACCUAGUACAUACUGUAAAAUGGUUGUUGGCAUUAGGAGGGGCAUCAAACUAGAAAGUAUGCCAAAGAAGACACUGGAGCUUAUUUCAAUCCUCUGGUUCAUCAGAUCCUGUCAAAUUCUUCAACCCAUGCCAACAUGGAAGGUGGAUAUCAAAUGAUGAUGAUUGAUGAGUUUAAUGUUUUGGUUAUCGAGAGGCAAGAUCAUAUUAGCCUAUAUUAGCUUCAAAUUCCCUGUAAGUACAUUUAGUCUAUGAAUUUACUUUAAAAAUACUGGACUUAUCGCUUAUGAUGUGAUGUUGCCAUCUAUAACACAUGUUAGUAAAAUGAGAGUGAGAACUAGAUUUUCUUGGAAACAAACAGAAUACUGAGAACCACAUUGUCUAUGCUGGGAUUGAAAUGUGCUUCUCAAAUUAAUAUUGAGUAUAGCAAUGCUAGUUAAUAGAUUCUUCAAGAGGAACAAAGGUAGGAAGAAAAUCCUCAGUAGAGGGGUAAGUUUUAUAAAGUAACAAAAUAAAAGUUUUGAAAACUAACAUGAAAAUAAUACUUUGUUAGUAUAAAGUGUUGAUUAUGUGAUGCCAUGUAUCAGAGGUAUGAGGUUGUUCAAUGAAUGAUGGAGAUUAAAAACUAUUGGAUAUACAGCAGGAAUUUAUGGAGAAAGUAAUCAUGUAUUAGAGGUAUUGCUUAUUACAAUCAAGAAAGACAACUGUUGUACAGAAAUGUAAUGUAAAAGAUUAAUGUGUGAAAGUAGUAAAGAGUGUACUGAAGAGACUUAAAUAUCAUAUGAAUAGGUGCAUUUUCACAUAUAUCUGAUGAUGCAUAUCAGAAUGGUUGAAAAUAUGUCAUUCUGGAUCUACCCAAACUAUAUUCACCUUGAAUUCCUUUUCUGCUAUUAAUAACAACUAAUACAAUUUUUGAAAGGUUGUAUCUACUGGAUACUCUCAUACCUUUGUUGUCAGUGGACUUUUAAUUCUUUAGAAGUUGGGCAAAAACGUUUUGUUUCACUUGAUAUCAGCAAAACAUUUACUGUAUCUGGCAUGCAGAUCUCUUGGCAAAACUGCCUUCUAUGGACUCCAUUCAUGUUUCAUCUCUUAGAUCAGAGGCUUCCUGUUAGGUGGAAACAUAACAGCACAUGCUAAAGGAGGCUCUUUCUACUCUGGUGUGCCAUAAAGUUUGUUUUUUCUCCCUCACUCUUCCUCUGCUACAUCAAGGUUAUUUGCCAUCAAGUCCAGCAAUGCCUAUGUAAAUGAUACCAUCCUUCAUUGCACCCUAACCUAAAACAUCUCAUGCCAAACCUGCACUGAUUCCAUGAACAGAGACAUUGUAAUCAUCCUCUGAUGCAGUCCCUUCAAUCUUGUCUCCUUGAACAGCUCAAAGACACAAUUAUUACCCCGUUUCAGUACAGGAAUUUCACACACUGCAUUGCAAACUUGCUUGCUCCUUCAGGACUAGACAGUAUUUCAGCCACCAGCUACCACUAGCCUUUAUAAAACUCAAAUGAGACUUGUAAUGAAGUACUGCUUUCACAUCUGGAAUAGUGCUGCUGUUACGUAUACAAAUAUAGUUGUAAAUCUCUAAAAAAAAAAGACCACCUAAGUGAUUAGCAUGAUGCCACUUAGCAACACUCUCCCACUUCUGGCUUGCAGAUGUGCUGCAUUCUCACUCUGUCUUUCUUCUAGUAUAAUGGUCUCUGCUUCUUAGAGGUGCCUUUUUGUGUGACACCUCCUCUCAUUCCUGACUCAUCUCUCUUCACUCAUUGAGCUCUCUCCCUCCUCUUCUUGUGGACUUACUUCUUCGUUCAACUCCUCAAAACUUAGUCAUCUGGAAUUUCUUUCUUGACCAUGUAGUUCCCCACAAAUGUUAACUUGCAACUAUUCUCAAGGAUUAUUAACCACGUCAAUCUCACUGGUCUCAGUCUGUAAGGCCCAUUGGCACAACCUAUUCCUCCAGAUCAGUUCCAAUAAAGAAAACUAUAGGCACUGCCCCAGUAUGGCCACAUCCUACAGGCUAAAACUGGGAAUAAUAAAAGAAUAAUGACUCACUGAAUUUUUUUCUAUAAAACAGUUUAAAAUAUAAUAUUUGCUUUAAAUUGAUUGUUUUUUUUUUCAUUAAAUGCAUUUGUUAUUGAAAAUCUUCACUUAUUCAAGAUUUUCAAUUGAUUUUGAAACUUAUGUUGCAGUAUAUGUACUAAACAAAAGAAAAUGUUUUAUAGUGUCAGAGGCUCCUUUACUGUGCGCAAUAAUUAUUUAAAUUGUUUAAACUGCUGCAUAAGCAACAUAUUCAGUAGGAUAUCAUUAUUUUUCUAUGGAAAUCAAAAUAAAAGUCCACUCCAGAUAUUUUCCUUCAUUUCAGCUUUUACAAAUUUGACAAAACUGUGACAGUAGGAAUAUGUAAUAUCAACAAGUGAUUAAACUGAACUAAAGUUCAUAGAUAAGUUUUUGGAACACAUAUCAGUUCAGUAACGUCUGUUGUUUUUAUUUAUUAAAAGUAAAACAAUUAUCAAUUCUUUAGUAGAUUGAACAAAUUUAUAAGUAAAGAUGUUUAACUUUUGAAAUACUGCAACAUGUUGGUGUGUUACAAAAUUUUUAGGAAUAUACUGAAAUAAAGUUCUACAUAUUGUGUGUGUGUGUGUGUAUACACACAUGCAUGCACACACAUUAACAGAUAUUUCAAUUAAAAUGAACUUUUUUUCCAUAAAAUAAAUUGCAGUUAAGUAUGCUAUUUGCUUUUUGUAGAGUCAAUGAAUCUUGUCAUCAGAUGAAUUAAAAUAGGAUUAAGGAAAGAAAAUUAAAUAAAUCGAAAUAUCAAAGAAUACUUACUAUCAGUAAAAUGCUGAAAUUUUGUUAGGACUAACAAAAUAGAAGAAAAAAAAUUAAGAUUUUGGUGAAGUAAGAUAUUUGUUAUAUACUGACAAGUUUUAUAAAUACUAUCAAAGUGUGAAGCAGAAAUGAUUAUUAUUGCAAGUGUGUGAGUGUUUUCCUUAAUCCCAUUUUAAUUCACCUGAUGACAAGCUUCAUUGACUCAUGUAUGCUAUUUGCUUUUACUAAAAGCAAAUAGCAUACAUAAGAGCCUCUCCUGCCCUUUGUUCUUAACUGCCAUUAAUUUUAAUUUGAAAUAUCUGUGUGUUAAAAUCAGUAUUGAACUCUGUAAAGCAAUUAACAUAGAAAUGAGCAAGUACUGAUUUUCUUCAUUCUGGUCCUUGAAAUUAUCACACAAAUGUUGAAAACUGAAUGCCAGUUGAAGGAGGGAUUUCAUUGCAGAUUCUAUUGAAGUUUAGUGGAUAUAUUAUAUAAUUCUGUUAACUAACUGAUGCACUUGCUGUGAGAUUAGUUAAUAGCAUAGUAGCUAGAGGUCCAUGGAUGGACAAAUUUAGGGAAUUGUCAUUUCUAUUGGCAAGAAAUGCUUUUGGGUUCAGCAUCUUAAGCAAGUGUCUUCUGCUAUACUCAGGGGCUGAUCAAAGCCUUCUGUUUAGCUGAUGAUAAUAUAUAAUGUAUGUAAUGCUGAAUGUGACUGUAGAUUGCACUUACACACACACAUAUAUAUACAAUACUGUAUUCUCUGAUCAGAAAGGAGCAAUUUGAGUAGGAUGUGUUGUAGACUUUUUAAGAGAAAACUUGUAAGUUAAUAAAGCAAGUGGUCAAUAAUGUCUUUGAUCUGUCUACUGAAUGUAAAAAAAAAGUCAUUUGAUUGGACUUGUGAACUUCACAAUGAUACAUGAUUGGGAUGUAGUGAAUGUGUCUAUUUUGCAGAUCCAUUCACUGUCUUACAUUAACAAAGAAUAAUGGAUAUUAAAAUAAUGGUCUUCAUGAAUAAAAUUUUUUCAUUAAUUUGUACUUACUUUAUUUUAAUCAAUUAUAUACGGAAUCAGUUAAGGGUCGAUUCCAUUGCUGAGUUUCACACAUGUAAAGUUCAAGUGUAAUUAGGCAGGUAAUAAGGUAAAUGGUUGAAGCUAUGUCUGCAAUGUAGUGCACCAGUUAGGUCAAUUCUAAUCGGCUGUGUUGGACCCUGUGAUCAAAUAUAUUGCUGUCUUUAGUGUAAGGGAAGCCACCCAUUCCAGACUUAGAUUUGGUGAAUUUGAAUUGGAAGGCUUUGAAUUUUCAGGCACAUGUUCAGGAUGUUCAAGAGGAAUGUGUGAAAAAAGUAAAGAGUGAACUGAUAAAGACUUAAAUGCCAUAUGGAUAGAUGAGUUUUCACACAUAUCUGAUGACGUGUCAGGGUGGCUGAAAAUAUGUCACUGUGGGUCUAUCCAAACAAUAUUCACCUUGAAUUCCUUUUCCACUAUUAACGACUACUAAUACAAUUUUUGAAAGCUACUGGAUACAGCCUACUCUCCUACCUAUGUUAUCAGUGAGCUUUUAACUCUUUAGAAAUUGAGUAAAACAGUUUUGGUUCACUUGAUAUUAGCAAAGCAAUUUACUGUAUUUAGCAGAACUGCCUGCCUAUGGACUUCAUCCAUCUUUCAUCUUUUCCUCUGAUGAUAGCUUUCAUUUGGAAGCAUGCAAUUUGGCAAAAAUUUGCAGUUUCAUGCUCCAUUGAAAUAAGGGGUAAUUUUAUUGAUGAUACUCCAUCUUGGAGAGUUCUCUGUUGAUCUUUGAGUUUCCAGAUAAAUUGGGACUAGGGUGUGGAGUUUCCAUUGGCUCUUGUCCUGAAUGUUAGUUGAUGCUGGUGAUAAGUUUUUCUUAGUGUUCACAGUGAAUCCUCAAAUAAUCCCUUUAAAACCAUCUGUUACUGAUUCUUACUGUAUAACUGCUUAGUAACAACAAAUCUUCUGAGUGAGCAAGUAAAGGCAUUUAUGCAGUAAAAGUUGGUUGUUUGGGUGUAAUUUUUGUUGUAGCAAAAAAUAUCUAUCCAUAACAUUAAGGGUGUUGAAAAGCUUAUUGUAUUCAUGUGUUGGUGGGAAAUGUCUUAUGAGAAAGUUCCCAUCUAUGUUAGUAGCAACAUCUAAGUUAAAUGGUGAAUUAAACCAAGUCGUCUUACUCUUUCUAGUUCCCCUGUUUGUCUUCAUGGAGGUGUUUCUGCACAUGUUAGCUCUUGAAAUUUGAUUCUGAAAUCUCAUCAUGAACACCAAUAGAAGUGGAAGAAAUCUAUUAUACAUAAUGUAAGAGUCAGCAUAAAUAAACAAAAAAACAAACAAACAAACAAAACACUAAAAGGUACUUCAAAAGUUAA